CGAAGGUGCAAGCGUUAAUCGGAAUUACUGGGCGUAAGCGCGCGUAGGUGGUUCGUUAAGUUGGAUGUGAAGCCCGGGCUCAACCUGGGAACUGCAUCCAAACUGGCGAGCUAGAGUACGGUAGAGGUGGUGGAAUUCCUGUGUAGCGGUGAAUGCGUAGAUAUAGGAAGGAACACCAGUGGCGAAGGCGACCACCUGGACUGAUACUGACACUGAGGUGCGAAAGCGUGGGGAGCAAACAGGAUU
rnacentral:rRNA from 1 species